UACGGGGGGGGCAAGCGUUGUUCGGAAUUACUGGGCGUAAAGGGUCCGUAGGUGGCUUGCUAAGUCAGACGUGAAAUCCCCCGGCUUAACCUGGGAACUGCGUCUGAUACUGGGAGGCUUGAGUAUGGGAGAGGGAUGUAGAAUUCCAGGUGUAGCGGUGAAAUGCGUAGAUAUCUGGAGGAAUACCGGUGGCGAAGGCGGCAUCCUGGACCAUAACUGACGCUGAGGCGCGAAAGCUAGGGGAGCAAACGGG
rnacentral:rRNA from 1 species